rnacentral:tRNA from 1 species
GCCGCCCUAGCUUAAUAGCAGAGCAAUCGCUUCGUAAGCGAUAGGUGUCGGUGCAAGUCCGACGGGCGGCU